rnacentral:rRNA from 1 species
UACGUAGGGUGCGAGCGUUAAUCGGAAUUACUGGGCGUAAAGCGUGCGCAGGCGGUUUUGUAAGUCUGACGUGAAAUCCCCGGGCUUAACCUGGGAAUUGCGUUGGAGACUGCAAGGCUGGAGUCUGGCAGAGGGGGGUAGAAUUCCACGUGUAGCAGUGAAAUGCGUAGAGAUGUGGAGGAACACCGAUGGCGAAGGCAGCCCCCUGGGUCAAGACUGACGCUGAGGAGCGAAAGCAUGGGGAGCGAACAGG